UCGUCGUCGUCGUCGUCGUCGUCCGAAUACUUUUAGUUUUCGCACUCUAACUUUAGUAAAAGUGAAUAGAAAUCUAUGAAAUUUUAACACAAGGUUUAUGACCACAAAAGGAAGGUUGGGAUUGAUUUUGGGAGUUUUUGUCCCAACAUUUUAGGAAUUAGGGACCAAAAAGGGCCCAAAAUAAGCAUUUUCUUGGUUUUCGCACUAUAACUUUAGUUUAAGUAAAUAGAAAUCUAUGAAAUUUUGACACAAGGUUUAUGACCACAAAAGGAAGGUUGGGAUUGAUUUUGGGAGUU
rnacentral:lncRNA from 1 species